rnacentral:siRNA from 1 species
UCUAUACAUUAUUCUGCAGAGCCU